rnacentral:lncRNA from 1 species
UAUAAAAAUUCUGAAUGCUGGCGCCUGGUCAAGAAGUUCUGAGAAAGUCUUUGUCUCACUUCCUACUGAACUGGAGGACUUGAUACCGGAAGUAGAAGAAUUCUACAAAAAAAAUCAUAGUGGUAGAAAAUUACAUUGGCAUCAUCUCAUGUCAAAUGGAAUUAUAACAUUUAAGAAUGAGGUUGGUCAAUAUGAUUUGGAGGUAACCACGUUUCAGCUCGCUGUAUUGUUUGCAUGGAACCAAAGACCCAGAGAGAAAAUCAGCUUUGAAAAUCUUAAGCUUGCAACUGAACUCCCUGAUGCUGAACUUAGGAGGACUUUAUGGUCUUUAGUAGCUUUCCCAAAACUCAAACGGCAAGUUUUGUUGUAUGAACCUCAAGUCAACUCACCCAAAGACUUUACAGAAGGUACCCUCUUCUCAGUGAACCAGGAGUUCAGUUUAAUAAAAAAUGCAAAGGUUCAGAAAAGGGGUAAAAUCAACUUGAUUGGACGUUUGCAGCUCACUACAGAAAGGAUGAGAGAAGAAGAGAAUGAAGGAAUAGUUCAACUACGAAUACUAAGAACCCAGGAAGCUAUCAUACAAAUAAUGAAAAUGAGAAAGAAAAUUAGUAAUGCUCAGCUGCAGACUGAAUUAGUAGAAAUUUUGAAAAACAUGUUCUUGCCACAAAAGAAAAUGAUAAAAGAGCAAAUAGAGUGGCUAAUAGAGCACAAAUACAUCAGAAGAGAUGAAUCUGAUAUCAACACUUUCAUAUAUAUGGCAUAAUUUUGAAUAUCAUGGACAAUAUUUAGAACCCAAAUUUUGGAGUGCUUGGGCAGAAAGUUGUAAAGUUUGUGCUGGAGAAAGGUUUAUUUGGACUUUGAUUACAUAAAUAUUAAAAUCUCUGCCUUACCUUACAAAAACAACUAUAUUUUGCCAAUCACAUUAGUUAGCAUGAUGGCAUUCCCUUCAUGUUGCACACUCUUUGACAGCAUGCUGUUUUGUGGAGAAACUUGCAUUCAUGAAGAGCCCAUUAUCAACUUUUAAAAGUGAAUUUGAUUUGUACCCACCAGGAGAAAUACAGUUGGGAAGGGUGAGGGUGGGGUUCUUGUUGCUUUUUUCUUUUUUUUCCUCUCUUAAAAAAUGUACUUGCACAAGGAAGGAUCUUCAGAUAUUCAUGCACUGAAAAAUGCUGUUAUCUUUUGUUUUUAAAAAAUGCAAUUAAAACUAGAAAUAGCACUCUUGGUUUCUUUUGAUGAAAAGAGUGAGCUGGUCAAUGCAACAUUGGGAAACGGCAGAUGUAGAUAAUUCAGCAUUGGCGUAUUUGCUUGUCCCAAUACAAGAAUGCCAAAGGAGGAAACAGGAAAAAUUGCCGUCCAUUUAAAAAAUUUAGGUUUGUUGUUUUAAACCAUAAUUGUUCUCAGAACUUUUUUGGAACUUCUAAUUUUGGGUCAUUUAAUUUAAGAAUGAGAGUCAUGAUGUUUUGAUUUAUGAAGGUGAAUUUAAUGCAAAAGUGGGUAACACUACAUUCAUAGCAAAGUUUUUUAUUAAAUUUUAUAAAUUUUUAAUAGCCAAUUAUGUCCUAAUUG